GCCACAGAGCUGCACUGCGAGGUGUGUGCGUGUGUAAGCGUGUGUUUCCCACAGGUUCGACACAGUCUGAUUAAAACGCCGUUGGAUUCGCCGGAAACGUGCUUCUGAUGAUACGAUGGCGGUGAAAAAUGACCGCUGCGUAAUCAAGUCUGGGACGGUGGCACCAUCGUUUGCAGUCGAGUUACGGCGCUGCCACCUUUAACCUUUGUUCAGCUUCGCCACACUGUGGGCUUUACAGAGUGGCGCAACCGCAGGAAUUUGCCGCAGUUUGUUUAUUCCGAGGAGGGUGGCGCAAUACGGUAGUUAUGGGAUUUUGACUGCUAUUUUUAUCUUUUUUUAAAAAUAAAAAUAAAUCUUUUAAGUAGGUUUGAAGAAAUGACAACUUACAGCAGCAGAGUCCAAACGUUUGUCACGUGGGACAAAAUCAUGACGUCAAAAUUAUGCGCAAGCCAAGAGAAUAAUAACAAUAAACUAAAAUCAAAGAAAUCGUAUUGAUAUUUUCUGACAGCAGCUGGUCUCAAGAUUUAUCCAUCACCCAAGUGGGGAGGGAGAGAGUCGGAGCCGACUCUGAUGGAGAAGCAGCCAGACUUCGGACCAUGUGAGGUUCUUUAUCCUACCGAAGCGGUGGUCUGCUGCUGGAAGUCCAGACUCCAAUGUGAGCUUUAGAGCCGAACGUUCCCAGUUUUUCCGUCCAGUUUAAAGUCAGACUGAUAAAAUCUUUCCUUUAGACUUCUAAGAAGCCUAUGAGUUUAUUAAAUUUAUUAAAAACUUCCCCUCUGUCAGUAAUAGGUGAUUAGGUUUAGUGUCAUACUUUGUUUUUUUCGGUUUCAUUUGUUAAGUGUGUCAUUAAUUCUGAUCCAAAAGAAAAAUAUGGAUGUUUGUUUUAGUAAGGAACCAUCAAUAAUCCUUUAUUUUUUAAAUUAAAACAUUAACCAGUCUUUAUAUCGAUUCUAAAUAAACCAUAAAUCCUGAGAAACUUACAGAAAUGUCUUCCACUCAUCUUCCAUUAUGUAGCAUAGAGCGCCCCCUGGAAAGGAACUGAGCAUUUUCUUCAUCCACCCAGAUUUUUCUUUACCUAACUUAUAAGAAAAUCGUCAUUAAUAAAGCUUAAAAGCAAAUAUUCAUUUAAAAAAAAAAGAAAAAAGAGAACAAUAAUAUUUCCCCCAAAACUAAGAUGUACUGUAUAUAAGAAGCCACAUUAAGAAGUCAUUUGUUGAUGCAGGGCAGCCCCCGUUGGCUGUUGGAUGUAAGACGGUAAGACAGAAAAGCAGCAGUAACCUUGGGAAUCACGUGGUCAUUUAUUUGUGACAGAACAGUGUCAUGGAUACAGCAUAUGGACGGGGCGGGGGGGAGUCAUAGACGUACAAAAAUCCCUUUUUCAGCACAAAUCUUAAUUCCAUAAAUAAACUUUACAAAAUAUUCUGGGACACUUUGUCUCGUUUGUCGGUUAACCAUUAAUGACAGGUGUUGUCUAGCAGGAAGUGUUGGUGAUCUGUAGUUUGGACUGUUCACGGGGAGACGAUGUACGGUGAGUGCUUCGUUACAACAACGCGACGGCCUGACGGGAGCAGUGACUGGACAACGAAAACCAAACCCAGAGGAGACGCGUGUCCUGCCGUCGUUGAGCUUUUAGUUUGCUAAACCAUCCACAGUGUAGGCAUACCCACUCGAAUAUUUGCCGUUUUGCCACAUUCCAACCACAAACUAGGAUUUAUUUCAUAGUGAUUAUAUCCGAUAGACCAACACAAGGUAGUCCACGAUUGUAAAGCGAAUGGGUUUCUUUUUUUAUCACAGAAGUGUCUGAUGUGAACUUUAUACAUCUGAAGUUUGAAUAAAAAAA